rnacentral:misc_RNA from 1 species
UUUCCGUAGGUGAACCUGCGGAAGGAUCAUUAAAGAGUUAGGGUCCUCGUGGCCCGACCUCCAACCCUUUGUGAACCAAACUUGUUGCUUCGGGGGCGACCCUGCCGUUCGCGGCGUGGGGCCCCCGGAGCCCAUCAAACCCUGCGUAACUACGUCGUCGGAGUUUAAACAAAUUAAACAAAACUUUCAACAACGGAUCUCUUGGUUCGGGCAUCGAUGAAGAACGCAGC